rnacentral:lncRNA from 1 species
CUCCUCGGGGGGAGGGGGGAGAUUGACUGGGGCUGGUUGCCAUGGUGACACAGAAUGCUGACAUCCUCGCCUCGUGCUGCUCCUCCGAGGGAAGGUUUUCUUCGUUCUUCCUUCUUGGUGGAGGAGGGGAAAGGAGAUUCCGGCCGCUUCAUGGAGGAAAGAGCUUUUGGCAAAACAAAGGAGAAUGAAGUCCCCAUCCUGACGCCAUCACUUCAGCAAAACUCCAGACAUAUAAUUAAUGGUAAAUAAAUGUGAGCUACUGGU